AGAACCACUGGAUGAGUCAACAUGCGCAGAUUAAUGACAUCUCGCCCAUUAAUAAAAAUGGGCUUGGGCUGGACAAGGGACGUAACGCAUGCGAGAGCCUGCCGAGGCCUUCAUCCAGCAGUGGACUGAUCAUGGCUGAUAAUGUGGGUAGAGCAGUGGUGCCCUGCAAUAAUAAUCCGGCGACCUGAGUUCCAUUUCAGGCGAUAGCUAGAAUCAGUGGUAAGUCUUAUCUGAACCCUAUUCAACAACAUAAUCCUGACCAGCGUGGUGAACUAUGGUCAUACAACGCCCCGGGUGUGGGGAGGCUUUCACCCAGCAUUGCGUUGACAAAAUCUCUCAAUUAUUGAACAAUUGUGAUCUAUAUCACAGCAUGUGCUUAUUUGAAUGGUGAUUUCCCUCCAGUCAUUGCUGACAUAUUUUGAUGCAUUUUUGAGAAAAGCACCUCGGAGCACCGCUCUUAGUGCGUCACAAAAAAUAUAAAAAGGCUUCAAGUCAGCGAUGAUCGGUCAAAGCAAGACACUGAGGACACCGCGCGAGUGCAAACAGUACUUCGUUGAGUGAAGAACAGCUCGGAUUAAGACGAAUAGGUUUCACUGAACACAAGCCUGCCCACUAGCAUGAAGAAUUGCGCAUUUUCAGAUGCGUGAAGAAUUGCGCAUUUGCAGAUGCGCUUCUCGCGGCCGUCUGGAAAGCUCUUCCUUCCAAAUUGUUUUUAUUUAGAAUUGCUUUUUGUGUUUAGUUUGUUACCCUUCCCCCGCACCUCUGAUUAACACAGGUUGGCUGCGUACGGUAUGUAGCCAACAUACAUAGAUUGUAUUUGUUAGCAUUACACAUUAUACUAGGAACAGUCCGAAAUGCCAAACUCCUUAAGAUUUCGCACUGUUAAAGGGACUAUCUAUAUACAAUUCGAAGAAGAGGAGCCAAUAUAUAUUGACAUGGAAGAUAUAUACGAACAUAAGCUGGAGUUACCUGCCAUGAUCUUGACGAGAGACAACUCACUGUCACGCAACAGAGGAAACAAUCCUCGUGACAUGCCCAUGGUUGAAUCACCACCAAACGGGACAUCACCACAGAGAGGUGGUAGACUGGAACUUCGUUUCCUACAUUUUCCAAACUUGGCACGCAUUUUUCGAAAAAAGAACGCAACCUAAAUGGCAUGUUCUGGGGGGUUAAUACUUGCACCCACUAUGGGAUUAACUUUCUCUGCAUUAAAUGAUGCCCAACUGCACUUUCCAUCGAAGCAAAAUAACUCCUACAUCACAGAGAUGAACCGUCUUCCUUGCAGGCUCUUACGGCACAUUUGCCCAAUGUUAACUUCAGCCACAUCACACACACACUCUGGCUCGUAGCAUUGCCGGCGCUUUGCACUUGAUUCUUGAAAUGCCACCUUUAACUCGGAUGUCAGAUUAACGCAUCUAAAAAAACGACAACGGCUCCAAAGCAGCCUGCCGUUCGCGCCAUCCUGGCCAUUAGGCCUGAUCAUACGACUUACAUGGCUUUAACACGUAGGCUUUCACGGCCAAUAUUAUUAAUAAUAAAGGUUUUUGUGCGUCGUAACCCUCCACCACCCGACAUAGCCAGAAAGGUUCUUCACGUAAAGAAAACGUGCCAGUUAGUUACUAUCAUCAUCAGUUAGUCACUACUACGACGUUUCGCUGAUAAUUACAUCCAGCAUCAUCGGGCGAUUUGCCAGAAUAAUAAACGUCGUUACUCAAAUUAUAAAUGUUGUGGAUUUACUCUCCAACACACCGGUGGGCUGAAGCAGUAGAUAAUUGGCACGUUUUGUUUACGUGACAAACCUGUCUCGCUUACAUUCGUGUAUGACAUUGUUUUUAGGUGUUGUUACUUGUGACAUUGGCACAAGUAAACUUACAAUAUACACAAAUUAAACAUUGCAUUUACUGUAUAUGGGGUGAUCUAUAUACGUGCAUUAUUUUAAUUGUUUAAGUUGUAUGAAGUGUAUAAUGUAUAUAUACAGGGUGUUGAAAAUGAUGGACCCAAUUUCAAAGCAGUAUAUUUCACGAUGGCAACAUUACACAAAAAGUUACAAACGGUUUAAUGAGUUAUCAAGUCUUACCAUUUUAUAAAUGCUCUGUGUGCCCUCCACCUGCUGUACGGACAAAAUCGAGACGAUCGUUGAAUUCGUCCCAAACGCCUCUCAAAGUGUCUUCUUACACUGAAGUCACCGCUGCCGUGAUUCUGUUUUUGAGGUCAUCCAGAUUAGCCGCUAAUGGUGGCACAAAAACUGACACGGUCUUUGACGUCUCCCCACAAGAAAAAGUCGCAGGGUGUGAUGUCUGGGGAUCUUGGGGGCCAAGAGUGUAGCGCCAAGUCUUGGGGUCCCGCGCGACCUAUCCAACGUUGAGGCAGUGUGUCUUGCGAAUGACUGAGGCUAGGGGCUGUUUGUGCGCUGAGAGAGGCAUCUAGCAGUAAUCAUUUGAAACUCUAUGCCCGCCAUUUCACGUGGUACGAGUUUCAUUCAUGUGCGGUUCGUGGUUGCAGAGAUAUAGCGAUUUCAAAUCGGGUCCAUAUAUUUUAAACAAUCAAGCGUUGCCGGUCUCGCCGGAUCGGCCCGGGACCGCCGGAUAAUGCUGGAAGCAGCCGGUUAAUCGAUGAUCAGCUGUAUUUAUUGUCCUCUACUUUUGGUUCUGAAUGUUCAACGUCUCCAAUUAAACUGGCUUAUUACAUUUGAGAGCAAAACAAACCGUUGUAUUUUGAAAAACGCUACGCUUUAUGUUUCUGAUUAAGCGAAGGUUCGUUCACAAUAAACAUUACAGUCGUGGCUGUGCACUCAGAAAGAAUAUUUAUUGUCUCUUAUGUCAACAUUUGACGUGAUAUUUUUGACACUGACUUAGUACUCACUGUAUCUAACAGAUUUAAUCUUAGCCGGAGUUUGA